CCUCCAGGUGCCCCCCUGCGCCCCCCGGCCGAGCGCGGCCUCCAGACCUUGCUGGAUUUCCUCUCCUCCCUGUGUCUUCCAGAGCUGGGGGCCCUGGAUCGUCUGCCCCUCCCCAAUGCCGCUGGGCAGCCCUAGCCCCCCGGUCCCCGCCAAUCUGCCUAUGCCAGGAGCCCCCCCUCACGGUGACAGGCGCACACCCCAGAGCAGUGCCCCCUGCCCUGGUGUGGACAUGCUCAGCCCUCCCCCAUCUGCCCCCCCACCUCGGACACCCCCCCCAUCUCGUGGCCUUCCACGCAGACCUGCCCCCUGUCCUGUUCUGCCGCUGCCAGCCCCCUAGUGUGAUGCCCCCCUGGCCAAGCAAGGGGGAGUCGCCCCCGGGUACCCCAUUCCACUUCCUGCCCUAGUGUGAUUCUGGCAGGGGAGUGGCGGUUAGUGGUUAGAGCGGGGGUGGGGCUGGAAGCCUGGACUCCUGGGUUCUCUCCCCGGCUCUGCGACUGCUUCCGCAUGUGUCUUUGAGGGUACGUCCCUUCUCCGUCACUCAUUGCCUCAGUUUCCCCUCCCAUGGCCCCCCAGAACGCCCUAGUCAUCAUGCGGCAUGGGGGACAGUGACGGGGCUGUGGACUCCCGGGAGACUCCCCCUCUGCAGUACAGGGCACUUGACACAGCUGCAGCCAGCGCCUCCCCGCGACGCAUCCCGGAGCUGGAUGUCAACCCGACGCUCCCUGAGCACGGCGGCUGGGACCGCCGGCGGCCCGCGACGGAGGGCACAGAUGGGGCCGGGGACCCACGAGUCCUGCGGGGAUCCUGGGGGAACAGACCCUCCCCAGACUCAGCCCCCCACCUCAGGGGGGCGAGGUCGCCCUAAGCAACCAGCCAAUAAAUAUAUUUCACUGCUCGA